UAUAUUUCAUCUCACGCUUUACAGUCUCUCACACACCUGAUUAUAUAUCUUGUAGUAUUCACAAUACAACAUGAUGUGGACUAAUGGUGGAUCAAUGAUUCCAAGUCUAUUACUAUUUCUUUUCAUUACAGAUGUGCGGUGUGAUUCUCAGGUGUCACAGGAGUCUGAUCUUCAGAUUACAGAAAACCAAGAUAUCACCCUGAACUGUUCUCACAAAAUAUCAACCUAUGACCUUCUGAUCUGGUACAAGCAAAUCCCUGGACACGGCCUAAAGAUCUGUUCUCAUGGUGUGACCACAGUUACACACCAGGAUCCCAGAUACUCAAUGACUAUAGACAGAAAAUCUCUCACUACACAGCUUCAUAUAAAGAAUGUGAAGGGGGAAGACACAGCCGUGUAUUACUGUGCAGUGAGUGACACAGUGACAGUGACAGACUGCAGAUUUGUACAAGAACCACCCACCAAGCACAGAUACAAAUGA